GUGUGUGUGUGUCUCUCUCCAGGUGUGUGUGUUGUCUCUCUCCAGGUGUGUGUGUUGUCUCUCUCCAAGUGUGUGUGUUGUCUCUCCAGGUAUGUGUGUGUGUUGUCUCUCUCCAGGUAUGUGUGUGUUGUCUCUCUCCAGGUAUGUGUGUGUGUUGUCUCUCUCCAGGUAUGUGUGUGUGUUGUCUCUCUCCAGGUAUGUGUGUGUGUUGUCUCUCCAGGUAUGUGUGUGUGUUGUCUCCAGGUAUGUGUGUGUGUUGUCUCUCCAGGUAUGUGUGUGUGUUGUCUCU
ensembl:lncRNA